AAUAGAUACCCUGGUAGUCCACGCCGUAAACGAUGUCGACUUGGAGGUUGUUCCCUUGAGGAGUGGCUUCCGGAGCUAACGCGUUAAGUCGACCGCCUGGGGAGUACGGCCGCAAGGUUAAAACUCAAAUGAAUUGACGGGGGCCCGCACAAGCGGUGGAGCAUGUGGUUUAAUUCGAUGCAACGCGAAGAACCUUACCUACUCUUGACAUCCAGAGAACUUAGCAGAGAUGCUUUGGUGCCUUCGGGAACUCUGAGACAGGUGCUGCAUGGCUGUCGUCAGCUCGUGUUGUGAAAUGUUGGGUUAAGUCCCGCAACGAGCGCAACCCUUAUCCUUUGUUGCCAGCGGUUCGGCCGGGAACUCAAAGGAGACUGCCAGCGAUAAACUGGAGGAAGGUGGGGAUGACGUCAAGUCAUCAUGGCCCUUACGAGUAGGGCUACACACGUGCUACAAUGGCGUAUACAAAGAGAAGCGACCUCGCGAGAGCAAGCGGACCUCAUAAAGUACGUCGUAGUCCGGAUUGGAGUCUGC
rnacentral:rRNA from 1 species